UACAGAGGGUGCAAGCGUUAAUCGGAAUUACUGGGCGUAAAGCGUGCGCAGGCGGUUUUGUAAGCCAGAUGUGAAAUCCCCCGGGCUCAACCUGGGAACUGCAUUCAAAACUGUCGAGCUAGAGUAUGGUAGAGGGUGGUGGAAUUUCCUGUGUAGCGGUGAAAUGCGUAGAUAUAGGAAGGAACACCAGUGGCGAAGGCGACCACCUGGACUGAUACUGACACUGAGGUGCGAAAGCGUGGGGGAGCAAACAGG
rnacentral:rRNA from 1 species